UGAGCAUAGUUUAACCAAAACACUAAAUUGUGGAUUUAGUAACAGGGACCUACAACCCCUUGCACACC
rnacentral:tRNA from 1 species